rnacentral:lncRNA from 13 species
AGCCACAGUCGGUUAGCUGUGCUCAAAGAGCCCCAGAGCUCUUGACCCAGCUCUGUGUUGCUGGCCUCAGGCACUUCAUUUCUUGUAAAUUAACCCUUCUUUCUCUCUGGAAACUUCAAAAACUUCUCUUUACCUUUGAAGUUCCAAAAUAAAUCUUUUAAAAAUGCUUUCUGACAUGCAUUGGUGAGCCCUUGUAAAUGGAACUGGUCAUCUGAUCUGCAGAAACCAGUACUAAACUAAAGCAUGGAACUCCUGUUUAAAAAGCAGAGAAAAGGCCUAGCGAUGCUAAAAUACAGUUUUUUCUUCUCUUCCACAGUCUCUUUCUUGAUGUGCUGUGUUUUUCAUGUUAUUUAAUUUCAUUCCAAGUAAAGUUAACAUUUUAAAGUAUUAGCAUAAAUUUUAUCAUUUGUGCAAUGCUAGUUUUAGAUGCAAAUACAAAGCGUUUAACUCACAUGAGGAAUCACUGAAAUUACGGUUUGUGUUAUGUAGCUCGGGCAUGCAUGUGUGUUUCAUUUUUUACCAUAACAGUGGCGAUGCUGCUCAAAUGCAGCUCAACUGUUUGUAUUUUACUUCUUGCUACCUGCUCGUGCACCAGCACCCUUUCCCUUUGGGUGACUGAUGAGGGAGAAAGCACUGAAGGACAGGAGCUCUGAGUUGCACUGUGCUCAUCUUUCCCUGUACGUCAUCAUUUUCAGGGUUCAUGGCUGUCUAACAGAGAGAAGUAGCCCAGGGUCCUCACGGCAGACGGACUCACAGGAACUUACGCACCACCACACUCUUCAGUGGCAGCAGAACUCCCAUUAGCAGUUUCCUGACAAAGUCUUGGAAAAGAAAGCUGCAAAUGAAAAUGAGGAUGCAAAUCACAAGGGAAGGCAGAGUAAUGUUCCUUUUAUUUAAGUGGACUUGCUGAUUUCAAAAGAACCAUUUCCAGAAAAGACUGGGCUAAGCUCCAAUCUUGGCCUCUGUAUAUAAUACAAAAGUAGAUGCUGUAAAUUAGUAAACUGGUGGCAUUCGAUCAUAAAAAAAGAAGAAAAGAUGCAUUUUCUGUUACACCCCGAGGCUGUUCUUUCCAAACCGCUGUGCAGAGCAAACACCAGGUGGGGAGAUGGCUUUGUGGACAUGCAAUCCAGUUUCUGAUCCAGAAAUAGGUCACAGCACCAAUGUGAAAAUACCUGUUGUUUUUUAAAUAGAUCUGUGUGUCUCAGUGCGUGUGUGUGUUCUUUUUCUUCCUUAAGCGCACUUGAGAUUCCGCAAAGAAAUGAGGAAGUGGAAGUUUUGAAUCGGUUUGUCUUCUUUUGUCUAGAGAGGAUUUUUUUAAAGAGUUUCUAAGAGGUAAAUUGAAUUUCUUCCUCAGGAAAGGUCAGUUUUACAUGAAUCAAAUGUAUUAAUAAUGAUUUUUUUAAUCCUGGACUAUAACUUCUAGAAGUUUGCAAGUUGGGAGCCUGUUUCCUCGGCUCUGCGAUGUUCCCUCCUCUUCCUGGGGUUCUCUCCUCCUAGGACCCUGGGACCAAGCACUGACCCUCAGGUCUUCGAUCUCUCUGAUCUCAUAAACUCUGAUCUCUUUGUCCUUUGGAAUACAUUCUAAAAGAAUCCCUGGAUACCCCUCUUCAAAAGUCCACAUGCUCUUGGGGGUUCCCAUUGUUCUGGCAUGUUGAAAACAACAUCCACCACACGAACAUGCUUUUUAAUUGUUGUCUUCUUGGAAGCUUCAGAGCCAUGACACUGUAGUGAAAGCUCUUAAGGAUCCCAUCCCAGUUUGAGGACCAGGGCCGGCAGCCUCCACCAAGUGCCAGGCCCUCCUAUC